rnacentral:rRNA from 1 species
GUUGUCCAGGAAAUGAAUUUUAGUUCAGCUCUAAAGAUACCAAAAAUAUAAAUAAAUUCCACUGUAUCUUUAAAAGUUAGUCUAAAAGGGUACAGCCUUUUAGAAAUGGGUACAACCUUCACUAGAGAGUAAGACCUAAAAACACCAUAGUAGGCCUAAAAGCAGCCAUCAAUUAAGAAAGCGUUAAAGCUCAACAAUAAAAACGACAUUAAUCCCAGCAAUAAUAUAGCCAACUCCUAGACCUAGUACUGGACUACUCUAUUACUAAAUAGAAGCAAUAAUGUUAAUAUGAGUAACAAGAAACAUUUUCUCCUUGCACAAGCUUAAGUCAGUAUCUGAUAAUACUCUGACUGUUAACAGUAAAUAAAAACAACCCAACAAUAAAUGACUUAUUAGUUGUACUGUUAACCCAACACAGGAGUGCACCCAGGAAAGAUUAAAAGAAGUAAAAGGAACUCGGCAAACAUGAACCCCGCCUGUUUACCAAAAACAUCACCUCCAGCAUUCCCAGUAUUGGAGGCACUGCCUGCCCAGUGACUAAACGUUAAACGGCCGCGGUAUCCUG